UUCUUCCCCUAUUUAUAUUGUUCUCUCAAAAUUGGAAUGAACCAGUUCGAUCUCUAGUCAUCUUCUUCCUCUCAUUAUGCGAAGAUUCAAAAACCAUGUUAGCGUAACUCUAAAGAAAGAAGUUUACGUCUACGAUGGUUUAUAUAUAACUUCGGGCUUUGGGGUAAAAGACUGGUCAUUUGAUGGAUGCAAGUAUGCAAGCCAUUGACGAUCUUACAGCUUGCAUCCAAGCAUAUGAGCCUUUUGAAGAACUCCGACAGUAUCCAUGGGAUGAAAUUAGAAUCUCGAUGCUAAUUUCAAGUUCAUACGGGUUGGAUGAUGCUGAAGAAGGAUUAGAACACUGGGUUAAAUGUGAAUUGCAAGUAUUCACCAGUUGUCUCAGUCUGGUAAGGGAAAAUGUCUACCAGGGAAAAUGUCUACUAGGGAAAAUGUCUGUUAUUGAUAAUAAACUGUUAAAUGUGUUUCUGAUACUAAGAGGAUAUUAGAUUUUAGAACUAGUGAAGUUGUGUAACAUAUUGAUCCGUGUAAUUGUAACCGAAAUGAAAUAAAAGUAAUUUAGUUGAAUGUGUUCUUCAA